GUAAGAAAUGUCUUUUUCAUCACAUCUGACUGAUUUCUGUCAUUCCUAUAGCAGAUUAUCAUCUUUCCCAAACUGGAACUGUCAUGUGCUUCUCGUGGCUCUGAAGAUAACUCCUCUGCCAUGUGAAGCAAUAGGCGGCUGCUUUUUAUCCCAUCCAUUGUUAGCUGUUUGAAUUUGAGACGGCUAGUAUUCAUUCUCUACUGCUGUUGAAGCCAUAUCUUACAAGAUCUUUAGAGAGGAUACAUAAUACUUUGUAUAUUUACCAAAACAAUGUUAUCUGCUGACACAAUAAAAU